rnacentral:misc_RNA from 1 species
UUAGGGAGACCUUACCCCCAUUUCCUUAAGCUUUAGGAUAAAUGCCUAGAGCACGCAGAGGAGUGGUUGGUCAUCUCAAGGUCGGUGAGGGUUGGAUCUAAGGCUUUCAAACUUGUCUAGUUCAUCUUUAAAGAUUAAGACUGCAACAAUGCAACAAUACAAGUGCUUAUUUGAGCGCAAAUUAGCUUGCAAGCCUUUUGAUUGCUGCGCUUAAUGCUAAAUGGAAUGUAUUCAGCAACAGUAUUAGUUGAACUAAGCUGCCUGCUGGGAGACAUUCCAGCGAGAACCAUGAAAACUGCAUAGUGAUAAGCAAUUAAGUCAGGUAGAAGUUCAUCUUUAGUUUGUCUUCGUCUUCAGGAUUGAAGCGACGAGAUGAACCUUCAUAGACACCAAUGUAAAGACAAGUUAGU